rnacentral:rRNA from 1 species
UGAACGCUGGCGGCGUGCCUAAUACAUGCAAGUCGAGCGAACGGACGAGAAGCUUGCUUCUCUGAUGUUAGCGGCGGACGGGUGAGUAACACGUGGAUAACCUACCUAUAAGACUGGGAUAACUUCGGGAAACCGGAGCUAAUACCGGAUAAUAUUUUGAACCGCAUGGUUCAAAAGUGAAAGACGGUCUUGCUGUCACUUAUAGAUGGAUCCGCGCUGCAUUAGCUAGUUGGUAAGGUAACGGCUUACCAAGGCAACGAUGCAUAGCCGACCUGAGAGGGUGAUCGGCCACACUGGAACUGAGACACGGUCCAGACUCCUACGGGAGGCAGCAGUAGGGAAUCUUCCGCAAUGGGCGAAAGCCUGACGGAGCAACGCCGCGUGAGUGAUGAAGGUCUUCGGAUCGCAAAACUCUGUUAUUAGGGAAGAACAUAUGUGUAAGUAACUGUGCACAUCUUGACGGUACCUAAUCAGAAAGCCACGGCUAACUACGUGCCAGCAGCCGCGGUAAUACGUAGGUGGCAAGCGUUAUCCGGAAUUAUUGGGCGUAAAGCGCGCGUAGGCGGUUUUUUAAGUCUGAUGUGAAAGCCCACGGCUCAACCGUGGAGGGUCAUUGGAAACUGGAAAACUUGAGUGCAGAAGAGGAAAGUGGAAUUCCAUGUGUAGCGGUGAAAUGCGCAGAGAUAUGGAGGAACACCAGUGGCGAAGGCGACUUUCUGGUCUGUAACUGACGCUGAUGUGCGAAAGCGUGGGGAUCAAACAGGAUUAGAUACCCUGGUAGUCCACGCCGUAAACGAUGAGUGCUAAGUGUUAGGGGGUUUCCGCCCCUUAGUGCUGCAGCUAACGCAUUAAGCACUCCGCCUGGGGAGUACGACCGCAAGGUUGAAACUCAAAGGAAUUGACGGGGACCCGCACAAGCGGUGGAGCAUGUGGUUUAAUUCGAAGCAACGCGAAGAACCUUACCAAAUCUUGACAUCCUUUGACAACUCUAGAGAUAGAGCUUUCCCCUUCGGGGGACAAAGUGACAGGUGGUGCAUGGUUGUCGUCAGCUCGUGUCGUGAGAUGUUGGGUUAAGUCCCGCAACGAGCGCAACCCUUAAGCUUAGUUGCCAUCAUUAAGUUGGGCACUCUAAGUUGACUGCCGGUGACAAACCGGAGGAAGGUGGGGAUGACGUCAAAUCAUCAUGCCCCUUAUGAUUUGGGCUACACACGUGCUACAAUGGACAAUACAAAGGGCAGCGAAACCGCGAGGUCAAGCAAAUCCCAUAAAGUUGUUCUCAGUUCGGAUUGUAGUCUGCAACUCGACUACAUGAAGCUGGAAUCGCUAGUAAUCGUAGAUCAGCAUGCUACGGUGAAUACGUUCCCGGGUCU